CUACAGCAGAGCCUGCUGUACCUGAAGGAUCCUCAGCCUGCUAUGCGACAAAAUGCUCUCUUGUUCAUUGGCUUGGCAUGGAGCUACUGGAACCCAAGUGAGGGAAGGCGGAAGAAAAUCUUCAGUUUCCUCCAUUUUUUGGAACAUGACAGUCAUCCGCUAGUCCGUAGUCAGGCAACAUUGACACUCCAGAUUCUGAGAAAACCACAGCAGCAGAAAAGGAAAGGAUGGGGCAGGCUUGUAGAACUGUGUUGCUGGCCCUGCAAUUCUCUCUUUCGUCAUAAGUCUGACUGA
rnacentral:lncRNA from 1 species